rnacentral:miRNA from 1 species
UCCCUGAGUGGGGCCAGGUCU